AGUGAACGCUGGCGGUAGGCCUAACACAUGCAAGUCGAACGGCAGCACAGAAGAGCUUGCUCUCUGGGUGGCGAGUGGCGGACGGGUGAGGAAUACAUCGGAAUCUACUCUGUCGUGGGGAUAACGUAGGGAAACUUACGCUAAUACCGCAUACGACCUACGGGUGAAAGCAGGGGACCUUCGGGCCUUGCGCGAUUGAAUGAGCCGAUGUCGGAUUAGCUAGUUGGCGGGGUAAAGGCCCACCAAGGCGACGAUCCGUAGCUGGUCUGAGAGUAUGAUCAGCCACACUGGAACUGAGACACGGUCCAGUCUCCUACGGGAGGCAGCAGUGGGGAAUAUUGGACAGUGGGCGCAAGCCUGAUCCAGCCAUACCGCGUGGGUGAAGAAGGCCUUCGGGUUGUAAAGCCCUUUUGUUGGGAAAGAAAUCCAGCUGGCUAAUACCCGGUUGGGAUGACGGUACCCAAAGAAUGAGCACCGGCUAACUUCGUGCCAGCCGCCGCGGUAA
rnacentral:rRNA from 1 species